rnacentral:tRNA from 1 species
AAAAAGAUAAGCUAAUUAAGCUUCAGGGUUCAUACCCCUAAUAUAAAGGUUUUAAUCCUUUUCUUUUUA